CGUUCCCAAGCAUAUUUGAGACACAGGUUUGGAAACAAAAAUGACUUCACCAGUUAAAUAUUGUUAGAUCCUAUAGUAUAUCAAAGUCACCCAGUGGAAGCUGAGCUGCCUCCUGGUUCAGCUGGAGAUGAUGGGAGCAGGCAAACACUUCCCUGGGCUGCAGUGCCAGCAGAAAGGAGCUCGGGACUGCAGCCAACUCCCUCUGCAAGGGCUUCUGGAUCUGCCUCAGCCUGAGGAGAGACACUGGAACAGCCCUGAAGUUUCUGGUCCUGACAGGAGUUGGGAAGUGACAAGAUUUACAUAAACAAGGAAGAGUUAUCUGAAUCUUCUCAGGACUCG